AACGGCUAUGUCAUGCUGAAUAUACCGGUUCUCGUUAGAUCAGCGACGUCAAGCAUCAUCGGGCGCGGUCAGUACUUGGCUGGAUGACCACCUGGGAACAACGCGUGCCGUU
rnacentral:rRNA from 1 species